GCCUGUUUGGAGCUGUCCUGGAGUCCUUGUCCUUUGGGAAGGGACCUGGCUGGAGGAUGGCCAGGAAUCUCCUAAAGAGGGGUGCCCAACCCAGGAGAUGUCUUUGCCCAGGUCUCAGGGAACCCUUCCAUUUUGUUGAAUGAAACAGAUCCACACCAAGGGGUCUAUUUCAUCAUUGUGAAUUUUUAGAACACUGGGACAAAGAGAAGAUUCUAAAAACUUCCAGGAAAGGGAACGAGAGAGGGAGAGAGGGAGAUAGACAAGGAAUGGCUUCAUGUAAGGAACCAGCAUCAGGAUGACAACAGACAGUGCCCUUCCAGUGCGGAGCUGGAGGCUGAAGGCAGAAAGCCAUGCUUUCAAGUCCAGAGGGAGAUGCCCGAUAACCCAGAAUUCUCUAUGCAAAGGCCACACUUGGAGCCCAAAGGCUCUCAUGGCUAGGGUUAAGUUACAACCUGAAGGACGGGGAAGAAGCUAGAAGCAAACUCUGAGCGGAUCUGGAGGGGGAUUUCCAGAAAAGAUUACGAAUCCAGUUUCUCCAGGUCCAACAGGGACUGAAGACCAGUGCAGUGGCUCUCCAGGAAUCUCUCAAGCCUUGGACAUCGGUUGAAGCAUCCAGCUUCAUGGACUGGGGAGUCACCCCAUCUCAGCCUCGCCAGUGUAGAGACAACCACUGUUGGACAAACCCUACUGGUUGUAAGCCCUUCUAGUGAACCUCCUCCCCCUUUUAAAAUAAUAUGGUCUAUCGGUUCCGA